CCAAUGUUCUAUUGACAGGCAGAGCUGAUGGAAAAAGGAAGACAACUCUUAUUUCUCAUUGCCUCAUGUGGAUCAAUGCUUAGAGGUACAUUCUCUAUACAAGAAGACAUUACAGACUUGGAGGGGUGGGUAACAUGUUCCAGAGGUUUUGGUCAGAAGGUGAUACAAGUGGGACAGAACUCGGAUAUUUCAAAGUCACCUCUUUUUUUUUUUUUUUAACCAUAUUACCUCUUUAUUAAAGAAGAAGAAGAAGAAGAAGAAGAAGAAGAAGAAGAAGAAGAAGAAGAAGAAGAAGAAGAAGAAGAAGAAAGAAAGAAAAGACUUACCUUGUGCAGGUACACUGGACUUGAGAAACAGAAUGCUGUUGCUACAGGCACACACGGCCCCCAGCCCCCGCAGAGGCUGGCCCGAACUCCACAGAGCUCCCACACUCCCUGAGGCCCAUGGAUCUGAGCUGACUGUUGCUCACCAGUGCUCUGCUCAGAGUUUCUCCAGAAGCAACUCCAGGUAUCUUUACUGAGAAACAGGAAGACCAUUCUUUACAUUCUGGGGAAAAGACCCGAGUCUGGCUUUCAAGGCCUCAGGGAAAGAAUUUUCCAGCUGGGAGCAUAUAGCCACUGUGAGCCAUCAGCCAUCAGGAUGUUGCAUAGCCACGGACAGGGAUAGAUGUCCCUCAGUGAAAAAGAAAGUCAGACCUUGAUUGAACACCCAGGGAAAUACCACACAUACCAAAAACUUAAUAAAGAGAUUUUCCAAAAAGCUGCAGACAGAGCACUGCUUUGUGUCUCAUCCCCAAGUGCACAUCCCCCUUGACUCACAGCAUGAAGCGGCCACAAAGGAACAUCCUCAUCUUCCCACGACCCUCCCAGCCUGCGUGCUGCCCUCCUGCUGAGAAGGACGAGAUGGGGGCUCCUGCGGCAGCCAGGCUGGACUAGAUCUCAGCUUCUUCCCAGUGCGCACACUUGGUGUCUACAACCGAAGUCCAUCGUCUCCCUGCCCUUGGUCUACCCUUCCAUCCGAGGGUCAUUCCUGCACAGUCUGCUCUCCACCGCCCCAUCCUAAGAAGUGGAAGGCAGAGGAUGAUGCUGAACAUCCUUGGCUCAAGCACUGUGCUGAAGAGAUGAUCAUUUGGAUUCUGUUUAUGCAUGACCAUGAACACCUCAUCACCCAAGUCAUGCUGCAACCCCUCCUGCCCCUUCCGGUUGAAACCAUGUGGAAGACACACGUGGUGAGUAGCUGUCAGUGUUCCCCACCUGUGCUUACCCAUGGGAGAUGGGGAGUAAAAAUAGCCACGGUUCUGGGAAUCAGAGAUUUUAGAUUCUUGUCAUAACCUUGUUGUUAUUAACUUUCUG
rnacentral:lncRNA from 1 species